UGAACGAACGAUUGAUAAGGCUUGCACAGGUAAUUAAUGACUCAACAGUUUCUAGUUAGUUUUUCCCACUUCCCAGCAAGCUAAGCAUUUUAAUUCCAAUUUGGUUUUUCCCACAGCUAAAUUUCACCCAACAGAUUGAAAUCUUUUCUAUUUCUUUCUGCCCGCGACAGGACAAGUACUUCAAAAGAAAAAGGUUCGUUUAUCGCGAUUGUGAGAACAGAAUGCGAAAUCAACUAGGAAAAAGGUCAGAAAGUCUGGAAAAUUAAAAAGGCAGAGACGGGAAAAAACUAUUUAAAACCCAGGUGAAGGCAGAAGAAGCAUAUCUCUAUGAUUUUCUUGGAAGCAAGUGCAAUUGCUAUAAAUGAAAUGAAACGGACGACGACGAGCGACAGGCAGCGCGGAUGUGGAUGUCGUUUAAAUAUCACCAGACGGCAUAAAAAUUGCCAGACGUCGCCAGACAAAGGCCAAACAAACUUAUGAAUGAACCAUCCAAGCAGAGCGUUAAAAAGUCCUAAAACGAAGGACCGAAUCUGGGAUUAUGCCUCACCUGAACUGGAUACAAAAAUUCAAUCAACCUGCUGCAGCUGCGGCCUUUGUUGCUGUUUUUGCAGAGAUUACUUUAUGCUGCACCCUGCAAUCCGGGGCUUGAACUAAAGGUGUCUAUAUUGGUGUAUAUAGAAAACUCACUGUAAGUCGGAGAUCUAAAGUUGUGAACGUGCCAUGCUGGCCCCUAUUGCCGCCCACCGCCCUCCCCUCACACCCAUAUGUGUGCUAGCCCCCCGAAGACCCUGGGUCGCAUAAACAGUUGCAAUUGCGAACGUGAUUGGAGCGAAUGCAAUUCAACCUGGAGAUAUAGAUAGAGACAGGUUGAAAACGAGAAGAGCGAAGUCAAAUCGGAAUCGAAUUUUUUAUACUUCUCAUGGCUACUAUGCUUCUCAAUGAUGGAUUCAAUUCCCGCAACGACAAGAACCAGAAACAGGUUUCCAAUCGCAUUCUGCCCCACAGUGGACACUCGGGAAAUUAGAGCCUUCAAAUGCAGCUUGUGCCUAUCUAUAUGACGCUUAGAAAUUUAUUUUUUAUUUGAAAUUCCUAAAGUUUAAAUGGAAUAAAGUACCAC